UCAGCAGCGUCGCUGAGCGAACCGGGCCGAGGACCCAGUGCAGUCCUGGGGUGAAGCGCGACCGGGCAUCCAGCCGGUGCGCCGGGCGAGUUCCCCGCCCGAACCCGUCAGCUAACUCGGUAGGCGGUCGUGGAGAACCA
rnacentral:sRNA from 2 species